UACUGUAAGAAUAAGCACCGGCUAAUUCCGUGCCAGCAGCCGCGGUAAUACGGAAGGUGCAAGCGUUAUCCGGUUUUAUUGGGUUUAAAGGGUGCGUAGGCGGCUUAUUAAGUCAGUUGUGAAAUCCUAGUGCUUAACGCUAGAACUGCAAUUGAUACUAUUAGGCUUGAGUUAAGAAUAGGUAAGUAGAAUUUAUGGUGUAGUAGUGAAAUGCUUAGAUAUCAUAAAGAAUACCAAUAGCGUAGGCAGCUUACUGGUCUUUAACUGACGCUGAGGCACGAAAGCGUGGGGAGCAAACAGGAUUAGAUACCCUGGUAGUCCACGCCGUAAACGAUGAUCACUCGGUAUACAUAAAUUUAUGUGUGUCUAAGCGAAAGCGUUAAGUGAUCCAC
rnacentral:rRNA from 1 species